rnacentral:rRNA from 1 species
AACGCGAAGAACCUUACCUCGGCUUGACAUGCACCUGGUACCAAGGGGAAACCCGAGGGACCCGCAAGGGAGGGUGCACAGAUGCUGCAUGGCUGUCGUCAGCUCGUGCCGUGAGGUGUUGGGUUAAGUCCCGCAACGAGCGCAACCCUUGUCCUUAGUUGCCAUCUCUAAGGAGACCGCCGGUCUAAACCGGAGGAAGGUGGGGAUGACGUCAAGUCAGCACGGCUCUUACGUCGAGGGCUACACACACGCUACAAUGGCCGGUACAACGGGCUGCGAAGGGGCGACCUGGAGCUAAUCCCACCAAAGCCGGUCUCAGUUCGGAUCGCAGGCUGCAACUCGCCUGCGUGAAGUCGGAGUUGCUAGUAACUGCUGGUCAGCACACAGCAGUGAAUACGUUCCCGGGCCUUGUA